rnacentral:lncRNA from 1 species
GCAUGGAUUCUACCUUUUUCCCGUAGUUGCCCGAUUCUAUUACUUUUCGGUACUCACAUUGAUUCGACCAUUUUUUUGUAAUCGCCGGGACAGUAUUUCGAUACUCGCACGGAUUCUAUCUUUUCCCGGUAGUCUCCCGGAUUCUAAUAUUUUUCGAUACUCACACUGAUUCGAGCCUUUUCCGGUACUCGACAGGACAAUUUUUCGAUACUCGCAUGGAUUCUUCCUUUUCCCGGUACUCGCCCGGAUUCUAUUAUUUUUCGGUACUCACAUUGAUUCGACCAUUUUUUUGUAAUCGCCGGGACAGUUUUUAAAUACUCGCACGGAUUCUACCUUUUCCCGGUACUCUCCUGAAUUCUACUUAUUUUCGGUACUCACACUCAUUCGACCCUUUUCCGGUACUCGUCAGGACUAUAUUUCGAUACUCACAAGGAUUCUACCUUUUUCCCGUAGUUGCCCGGAUUCUAUUAUUUUUCGGUACUCACAUUGAUUCGACCAUUUUUUUGUAAUCGUCGGGACAUUUUUUCGAUAUUCGCACGGAUUUUACCUUUUCCCAGUACUCUUCCGGAUUCUACUAUUUUUCGGUACUCACACUGAUUCGACCCUUUUCCGGUACUCGUCAGGACAAUUUUUCGAUACUCUCAUGGAUUCUACCUUUUUCCCGUACUCGCCCGGAUUCUAUCAUUUUUCGGUACUCACAUUGAUUCGACCAUUUUUUUGUAAUCGCCGGGACAGUUUUUAAAUACUCGCACGGAUUCUACCUUUUCCCGGUACUCUCCCGAAUUCUACUAUUUUUCGGUACUCACACUGAUCGACCCUUUUCCGGUACUCGUCAGGACAAUUUUUCGAUACUCGCAUGAAUUCUACCUUUUCCCGGUACUCACCCGGAUUCUAUCAUUUUUCGGUACUCACAUUGAUUCGACCAUUUUUUUCUAAUCGCCGGGACAGUUUUUCGAUACUCGCACGGAUUCUACCUUUUCCCGGUACUCUCCCGGAUUCUUCUAUUUUUCGGCACUCACACU